rnacentral:lncRNA from 1 species
ACUCUGGGUGCAGAGGUGCAUCUGUGAACAAAGGCUUCCUUUGUGCUGACUGGAGUUUCUGGAAAAAGUUAGCUCCUCAGCAGUCUUGGAGAGGUGCUCAGUGAUUACACAGACGCAGAGUGGAUUAGAAAGGCUGAGAUCAGUGUUUGUUUAUCUUGGCCUCAUUCCAGUUUCUGUCCUUACCUUUGGGUAAAACCAUUGGUAGGCUAAUGGAUUCUUCUGAGAAAUACCCAGUGCCUUUGCUAGGCUGGUCACCAUGCUGGGUGUUGUAUACACAGCCACGAACCAGACACCGUUCCUGAUCUCAGAGAGCUCACAGAUGGUGGCGGAGACAAUGCAAGAACAGAUGAGUGACUUCACUGCUGAGAAUCCACAGCAUGGGAACUGAGUUGACAUGGAGCACAUAGGUAUGCUCUGAAAGGUUCCAGGGCAACUAUUUGAUACAAGAGCUGUGUUUAUUUGAUGGCCUUAUUUACCCUGUAGAGUGGACACAAUGAUUUCCCAAAAUAAUUAAACUCAACUGAGUGCAGUAAAAACAUUCUUCCUGUAGUGAAUAAGUUAGCUAUGGACACGCGGCCCCAUUUUCUGGCCAACAGAAUAAGAGAGGAAGUAUGCUAAGGGCUUAUGGGGAAAGGUUUC